UACGGAGGAUGCAAGCGUUAUCCGGAAUGAUUGGGCGUAAAGCGUCCGCAGGUGGCUGUGUAAGUCUGCCGUUAAAGAGUGAGGCUCAACCUCAUAAAAGCAGUGGAAACUACACGGCUAGAGUGCGUUCGGGGCAGAGGGAAUUCCUGGUGUAGCGGUGAAAUGCGUAGAUAUCAGGAAGAACACCGGUGGCGAAAGCGCUCUGCUAGGCCGCAACUGACACUGAGGGACGAAAGCUAGGGGAGCGAAUGGG
rnacentral:rRNA from 1 species